rnacentral:rRNA from 1 species
UGGGGAAUAUUGGGCAAUGGGCGCAAGCCUGACCCAGCAACGCCGCGUGAAGGUAGAAGGUCUUCGGAUUGUAAACUUCUGUCAUUGGGGACGAAGAAAGUGACGGUACCCAAUGAGGAAGCCCCGGCUAACUACGUGUCAGCAGCCGCGGUAAUACGUAGGGGGCGAGCGUUGUCCGGAAUUACUGGGCGUAAAGGGUGCGUAGGCGGCGAUGCAAGUCCAUUGUGAAAAGCCCGGGCUUAACCUGGGAGGUGCAGUGGAAACUGCAUGGCUUGAGUGCAGGAGAGGAAAGUGGAAUUCCUAGUGUAGCGGUGAAAUGCGUAGAUAUUAGGAGGAACACCAGUGGCGAAGGCGGCUUUCUGGACUGUAACUGACGCUGAGGCACGAAAGCGUGGGGAGCAAACA